rnacentral:rRNA from 1 species
ACGCUAGCUACGGCUUACACAUGCAGUCGAGGGGUAGCAGGAACUAGCAAUAGUUUGCUGACGACCGGCGCACGGGUGAGUAACACGUAUCCAACCUUCCGUUAACUCGGGGAUAGCCUUCUGAAAGGGAGAUUAAUACCCGAUAGUAUAACCAUUUCGCAUGUUUUGGUUAUUAAAGAAUUUCGGUUAUCGAUGGGGAUGCGUUUCAUUAGAUAGUUGGUGAGGUAACGGCUCACCAAGGUCUUCGAUGAAUAGGGGUUCUGAGAGGAAGGUCCCCCACACUGGUACUGAGACACGGACCAGACUCCUACGGGAGGCAGCAGUGAGGAAUAUUGGUCAAUGGGCGAGAGCCUGAACCAGCCAAGUAGCGUGAAGGAUGACUGCCCUAUGGGUUGUAAACUUCUUUUAUAUGGGAAUAACAUCCACUACGUGUAGUGGUCUGUAUGUAACCAUUUGAAUAAAGCAUCGGCUAACUCCGUGCCAGCAGCCGCCGGUUAAUACAGAGGGUGCGAGCGUUAAUCGGAUUUACUGGGCGUAACAGCGUGCGUAGCGGUUAAGUCAGCUGUGACAGUAUGCGACUCAACCGUAGAAUUGCAGUUG